rnacentral:rRNA from 1 species
UUAAGUCCCGCAACCGAGCGCAACCCUCGACCUUAGUUGCCAGCAUUCAGUUGGGCACUCUAAGGUGACUGCCGGCUAAAAGUCGGAGGAAGGUGGGGAUGACGUCAAAUCAUCAUGCCCCUUAUGACCUGGGCUACACACGUGCUACAAUGGGCGGUACAAAGGGUCGCGAACCCGCGAGGGGGAGCCAAUCCCAAAAAGCCGCUCUCAGUUCGGAUUGCAGGCUGCAACUCGCCUGCAUGAAGCCGGAAUCGCUAGUAAUCGCGGAUCAGCAUGCCGCGGUGAAUACGUUCCCGGGCCUU